CAGUAGCCGCGGGAAGACAGAGGUCCCGAGCGUUGCUCGGAUUCAUUGGGCGUAAAGGGUGUGUAGGAGGCCAGGUAAGUCAGGUGUGAAAUCUCAGAGCUUAACUCUGAAACUGCGCUUGAUACUGCUUGGCUAGAGGAUCGGAGGGGGUAACGGAAUUUAUGGUGUAGCAGUGAAAUGCGUAGAUAUCAUAAGGAACACCGGUGGCGAAGGCGGUUACCUGGAAGAUUCCUGACUCUGAAACACGAAAGCCAGGGGAGCAAACGGGAUUAGAUACCCCGGUAGUCCCUGUCUCUUAUAC
rnacentral:rRNA from 1 species